rnacentral:rRNA from 1 species
UACGUAGGGUGCAAGCGUUGUCCGGAAUUAUUGGGCGUAAAGAGCUUGUAGGCGGUUUGUCGCGUCUGCUGUGAAAUUUCGGGGCUCAACCCCGAACUUGCAGUGGGUACGGGCAGACUAGAGUGCGGUAGGGGAGACUGGAAUUCCUGGUGUAGCGGUGAAAUGCGCAGAUAUCAGGAGGAACACCGGUGGCGAAGGCGGGUCUCUGGGCCGUAACUGACGCUGAGGAGCGAAAGCGUGGGGAGCAAACAGG